CUGGAUCACAGUCUAGUCCCAGGUCUCCUCUGACUCCAGAGCUGAAGUAUCAUGCUAUACUGCGAUGCUACUCUUCGAAGGACACAGCAAGAGAGGAAACAAGGAAGAUUAGGAAGGCGGAAGGCUCUAGAAUGUGUUUCUUGACCUUUUCUUUUACUGAAAAAGAGAAAAGAAAAUGAGAAUAAAAUGGAACUGCCGGCAGUGAAUUUCAGCUGUCUCCCCCACAGCAGAUCCCUUGCAGCCUGAAGAUGAGCUUCACCCACACAAAGACUGGGAUGUGGAAGACCACAGAGGUAAAGUGCCAUUCUCACCACGUCGUAUCAAGGGGACAUGCAAUCAGUGUAACUUAUCUCUGUUGAUGCUGACUUGUUCACUUGCAGCAGUGUUUGUCCUGUUUCUCCACUGAAGAGUUACCUUUCUUACCCCCUUCCUUACUCUACUCCCUGGAAGAAGUUUCUAAAUGCAGCCCUCCCUUAAAGGAUUAAGAGUUAAGCUCCGCCUCUUAAGGGAGGAGUAUCCACAAACAUUAACCUAAGAAACAUACCAUUUACAGUCCUGUGAAAGAAAAGAAAGGGCUCUGCGAUCAACUUGGAGGUGCGGAAAACACGAAGUGAAAUAAAGCUAGACGUGUUCCUUCACCACAUUAUUUCACUGAUUAUUAUACUAAUGCACAUCAUGGUCUUCCAGUUUGGGAUAUAGAAUGCAGAAUUUUGCAAAUUUAUUUUUAACCACAGAAGCACCCCCUCCGACACACACACACUCCACUUUUGUUCUUGUGGUCCCAUUGUGAUCUAAAAAUGUUUUGCAAACCUCAUAAUUAUCUGGGAAGCUUAUUUUAAAUUACCAAUUCUCAGUAAAUCUUAAUUAGAAUCUCAAGAGAUGGGAUCUAGGACUUUGUAUUUAAAAAAGCACCUCCUCCAAGUGAUGCUGCUGUAUUUGACCCUCAAAAUGUGGGACUCGAGAGCAGGCAGCCCUUGCUGGCCAGAGUUCAAGAACCAUAAAGACCCCUGGACUGUUGUAUUCACCUUUGUUUCAUUGAUUCAAUAAAUAUUGAAGAACCCCUGGCACUGAGGAUACUGAAGUGAGGGAGACGCACAAUGUGUCUGCUGUCAGGCAGCUCACAUUCUUCUAGGGAGAGGCAGAUCCCAUUAAAACUUCAACAGCUAAUCAUGUCACAGGUCAGGGGGUAAUAAGUGCUCAAAAGAAAAGUAAAGCAAGGUGCAUGCGACAAAGAGUGGCAUGCUAUUUAUAAAGGAUUUUCAGGGAAGAUCUCUCUGAUGAUGUGACAUUUGAACGGAUUUUGUAAAGAAGUAAGGUCACAGGUAAUGAGGCUAUCUGGAGGAUUCUAAGAGGCAGAGUGAAAAGCAAGUGCAAAGGCCCUGAGACAGGAGUGGGCCUAGCACCAAGGAACCUGAUCACUGCCCUGGAGACUUGAAUAGGGAAAGGAAAACAAGGCAGAGGAAGAACAUACAGGUCAGAGGGUAGAGAACAAACAUACCUAUAAGAAGGCAUGAAGAGACAAUUUAUGUGGGGAUAUACAAAUACAAUGGGAAGGGUGGAGUCUCUGCAGGGACCCUAAAUCGCACAGUGGGAACUUCAAGUGGCUUUAAACUCCAGCUAUACUUAGAGUAUAUCUGUUAACAGGAGCCACUUCUCUUUGGAGAAAAAGCAAUCCACUGUAAAAUACAAUUUUAAGCAACGUACACUGGGUUUUGUAUGCUUUCUAGGUGGUUUUCUUUUUCUUUUUUUUUUGUCUUUUUUUUUUUUUGGCAGAGCUUUGCUCUUGUUGCCAAGGCUGGAGUGCAAUGGCGGGAUCUCAGCUCACUGCAACCUCUGCCUCCCGGGUUCAAGCAAUUCUCCUGCCUCAGCCUCCUGAGUAGCUGGCAUUACAGGCAUGAGCCACCACGCCUGGCUAAUUUCAUACUUUUAAUUUUCACCAUGUUGGUCAGGCUGGUCUCGAACUGCUGACCUCAGGUGAUCCUUCCACCUUGGCCUCCCAAAGUUCUCGGAUUACAGGCAUGAGCCACCGUGCCUGGCCCACUUUCUAGGUUUUGUAUGCUUUGUGAGAGGAUAGAGGUGGGCAAUGAGAGAUAAAGGGAAACUUAUCAUGGACAGACACAUGAACGAAUCUCAACCACAGAGCUACCUAAAAUGUUUUGUGGAAUAAGGCAAGGAAAUCAUCAAUCAGCUAUAGUUUCACUAAUUAUGAAAUACCGCUGCAUGAAAAUAAAACGUGAAUUACCUUGCACAUGCAGAAAUGAUUAAGCACACAGCAAGCAGGAUUGCCUGAAAGAAGACCUCUUGCAACAACCUGGUUUCUAAUAGGAAGAACAAAAACAAAUAAAUUAGAAAUCAUUGCUGAUUCAAUCAUCUUGGAAGAAAAAAUCAUCUCAAACUUCCCUUGUACCCACCAAAAAAAAAAAAAAGUUUUGGAAUGUAUGUCAGUUCAAGCAAUGUGUCAUAAAUAACAAGAUAAAAUUAC
rnacentral:lncRNA from 1 species